rnacentral:rRNA from 1 species
UACGUAGGGAGCAAGCGUUGUCCGGAAUCAUUGGGCGUAAAGCGCGCGUAGGUGGCUUCGUAAGUCCGUUGUGAAAGUCAAAGGCUCAACCUUUGAAAGCCGAUGGAUACUGCGGAGCUAGAGUACGGAAGAGGCGAGUGGAAUUCCUGGUGUAGCGGUGGAAUGCGCAGAUAUCAGGAGGAACACCGGUGGCGAAGGCGGUUCUCUGGGCAUUACCUGACGCUGAGGAGCGAAAGUGUGGGGAGCGAACAGG